rnacentral:rRNA from 1 species
GCAUCCUACGGGACGCAGCAGUGGGGGAUAUUGCACAAUGGGGGAAACCCUGAUGCAGCGACGCCGCGUGGGCGAAGAAGUAUUUCGGUAUGUAAAGCCCUAUCAGCAGGGAAGAAGAAAGACGGUACCUGACUAAGAAGCCCCGGCUAACUACGUGCCAGCAGCCGCGGUAAUACGUAGGGGGCAAGCGUUAUCCGGAUUUACUGGGUGUAAAGGGAGCGUAGACGGCAUAGCAAGUCUGAAGUGAAAGCCCGUGGCUCAACCGCGGAACUGCUUUGGAAACUGUUAAGCUGGAGUACUGGAGG